ACUUAAAUUGAAGAGUUUGAUCAUGGCUCAGAUUGAACGCUGGCGGCAGGCCUAACACAUGCAAGUCGAGCGGUAGCACAGAGAGCUUGCUCUCGGGUGACGAGCGGCGGACGGGUGAGUAAUGUCUGGGAAACUGCCUGAUGGAGGGGGAUAACUACUGGAAACGGUAGCUAAUACCGCAUAAUGUCGCAAGACCAAAGUGGGGGACCUUCGGGCCUCAUGCCAUCAGAUGUGCCCAGAUGGGAUUAGCUUGUAGGUGGGGUAACGGCUCACCUAGGCGACGAUCCCUAGCUGGUCUGAGAGGAUGACCAGCCACACUGGAACUGAGACACGGUCCAGACUCCUACGGGAGGCAGCAGUGGGGAAUAUUGCACAAUGGGCGCAAGCCUGAUGCAGCCAUGCCGCGUGUGUGAAGAAGGCCUUCGGGUUGUAAAGCACUUUCAGCGGGGAGGAAGGCGGUGAGGUUAAUAACCUCAUCGAUUGACGUUACCCGCAGAAGAAGCACCGGCUAACUCCGUGCCAGCAGCCGCGGUAAUACGGAGGGUGCAAGCGUU
rnacentral:rRNA from 1 species